GACGAACCGUGCGAACGUUGUUCGGAUUCACUGGGCUUAAAGGGCGCGUAGGCGGUCGGCCAAGUCUGGGGUGAAAUCUUUCGGCUCAACCGGAAAAGUGCCCCCGAUACUGGCCGUCUAGAGGGAGGUAGGGGCAUGUGGAACUUCCGGUGGAGCGGUGAAAUGCGUAGAUAUCGGAAGGAACGCCGGUGGCGAAAGCGACGUGCUGGACCUCAUCUGACGCUGAGGCGCGAAAGCCAGGGGAGCAAACAGGA
rnacentral:rRNA from 1 species